CACGUAGGGCGCAAGCGUUGUCCGGAAUUAUUGGGCGUAAAGAGCGUGUAGGCGGCCAGACAAGUCUGCUGUGAAAACUCGAGGCUCAACCUCGAGCUGUCGGUGGAAACUGUCUGGCUAGAGUCCGGAAGAGGAGAGUGGAAUUCCUGGUGUAGCGGUGAAAUGCGCAGAUAUCAGGAAGAACACCUAUGGCGAAGGCAGCUCUCUGGGACGGUACUGACGCUGAGACGCGAAAGCGUGGGGAGCGAACAGG
rnacentral:rRNA from 1 species